rnacentral:misc_RNA from 1 species
UUUCCGUAGGUGAACCUGCGGAAGGAUCAUUAUCGUAAAAAAAAGAGGUGUGAGGGCUGUCGCUGACCCCCCAAGGGUCGUGCACGCCUGAGCGCUUUUACACAAUCCAUCUCACCCCUUGUGCAUCACCGCGUGGGUCCCCCCUUUGCGGGGAGGGGCCUGCGUUUCCACAUAAAACUUGAUACAGUGUAGAAUGUCUAUUUUUGCGGUCACACGCAAUCAAUACAACUUUCAACAACGGAUCUCUUGGCUCUC